GUGUGCCUGGCUCCCUGUAUGCCACACAUGUAGACCAACCCAUGGUGUCUGGUUGCCUACUGGGUGGCGUGCAAGGAGCCAAGCAUGC
rfam:Oryza glaberrima chromosome 2 Oglab02_0016_5, whole genome shotgun sequence.